rnacentral:lncRNA from 1 species
CACAUGCAAACUACCAGAAAAAUAAAACUUAACAUUUUUCCUGUGUUCUACUUAUUCUAUGGAAUCUAUACAAAAAUUUUUAUAAUUUUUGAAUCAGUACAUAAUUUUCUACACAAUUUCACAUAUCAAGCAUUUUUGAACAAAAAGAAAAAAAAGAAAACACACUGUGCUACACAGCCGGCCCGUUUGGUCACGGCCCAGGCCGGCCCGAGAGCUCUCCCGCGUCGUACGCGGGCGCUGCCCCUCUCUCACGCGGCCACUGACGGGCGGGUCCCGCCCGUCAGAAUCUCCUUCCACCUCCCGUCGCGGCUCCGGCGAGCUCAAGCUCAUCGCCGGUGAGCUCCCGGCCUCCGCGGUAGGGUGGGCUAGCACCUUCGGCCUCUCGCGCAACCCCUGGGACACACGGGACAAUCCCUACUCCCUCCUAACCCUCCUGCUCACGUCCACGGCGGACGGCGGCACUAACCGCGCGAGCACCGGCCGUCACAAGUGGUUAGAACGUGAACCAACCAGCGCAUAAGCUUCAGGGGCUCACCGCGACUUCAACGGAGUAACGAGCGGCGAUGGAAAGGCUUGGAGC